AUGUGGAAAAAGGUGUGUUGUUUAUCUUCAGGGUUUAUAGGUUGCACUGAACAAAUUGUUGUACUGAACAAAUUGGUAUUAUGUGUUUUGCAGGGUUAUGAUACAUGUGCUUAUCUGAAGUGGGUGGACAAAGAAUGGCAAGGGAGGCCUAGGCAGGUGAUUGGCAAACUUGCUGAAGAGAAUGUGGCUCUUCAGAAAUUUGUCUUUGACAAGGAUGCUGGAAUUAUGAGGCUGAAGGAAGAGAGGAAGGCCAUGAUCAUGAAGCACAAGAAGGAGAUCAGGACUAGGGAUAGGAGGGAAAUUUGGUUAGCAUGUUUGGUCUGCUUCUCUGCACUAUUGUAUGGUGUUGUAGCCUGUAAUUAUGAACAACACAUCAAUAUUAUCUCUGCAAUUUUCCUUUGUAGGGCAGCAGCCACAAAAAUCACAUCAGCACAUGGCAGUAGUCCAAACUACAACCUUCCCCUGUAA
rnacentral:rRNA from 1 species